GACGAACGCUGGCGGCGUGCUUAAUACAUGCAAGUCAACUGAACUUGAAGUAGCAAUAUUUCAAGGGAGGUGGCGCACGGGUGAGUAACACGUAGGUAAUCUGCCUUUAGGUCUGACAUAAUUCCGCGAAAGCGGGACUAACUUCAGAUGAUGCAGCGGCUCGACAUCGAGACAGUUGUUAAAUCUUCGGAGCCUAAAGAUGAGCCUGCGUCUGAUUAGGUAGUUGGCGGAGUAAAAGCCCACCAAGCCUGCGAUCAGUAGCUGGUCUGAGAGGAUGAUCAGCCACACUGGAACUGAGACACGGUCCAGACUCCUACGGGAGGCAGCAGUAAGGAAUAUUGCUCAAUGGCCGAAAGGCUGAAGCAGCAACGCCGCGUGGAGGACGAAAUACUUUUGUAUGUAAACUCCUGUAAGAGGGAAAAUAUUCCGAUUUAUCGGGAUUGAUUGUACCUUCAGAGUAAGCCCCGGCUAACU
rnacentral:rRNA from 1 species